UGACCCCCAGAGGCAGCGCUCGGCCUGUUCUACUGAUGAAGAUGUUGAGACCAGGGAGGUUGAGUCAGUCACCCAAAGCCCCCUGAGCCACGAUGUCCAGUCUUCUGAGCACUGGGACCCCAUGGAGGAAGAGGCUGGAGCGGGCCCCUCCCACGCCCGCUGGCCUCGCCCCUGACCCCAGUCUGACUGCCGCAGCUGCUCCUUGGAAGCUCCAGGAAGUCCCCGCGACUGCAUCACGUUGCAGACCCCAAAGGGCUCACCACGGCUGGGUUCAGUUUCUCCUCUCUCUAUGUGUCAUGAAUACAAGGCUGCUGGGUGAGUCUGGGGGAUGCCCCAUACUGCCACAAACCACAGCACGUGCACACAAAUGGUCCCCAUGUUAGCCCGUGUCUCUGGCUGCCUCGAAGCCGCAGUUCUGCAGGUUCGAGGCCAUGGCUGGGCUCUGACGAAGGCCCCAGGGAGGACGGCAUCGUGGCAAUGGGGGCUGUUCAAUGAGCCGAGCUCACCUGGAGGUCAGGGCCCAGGCUGUGCUGCGGCUUGGAUGUUAGUUUUGAUGUUGGAUGUUCUCCAAAGAGUCAUGUGGCAAAGGUUUGGAUCCCGGCGUUUUACGUGAUCCGAUUUGAAGCAUUGCCUUGAGGAAGUGAUGAGGUUGGAGUAGGCAGUUAGGGUGAGCCCGUGGCCGGCUGCCCUACGGUGGCUUUAUAAAGAGAGCCAUAGGAACCAGCUACCAUCUGUAGCUCUGGCACCCCAUAUGGGCGCCGGUUCAAGUCCCAGCCGCUCCACUUCUGAUCCAGCUUCCUGCUAUGGCCUGGGAAAGCGUCGGAGGAUGGCCCAGGUGCUUGGGCCCCUGCACCCACGUGGGAGACCCAGAAGAAGCUCCUGGCUUCGGCCUGGCCUAGCCCUAGCUGUUGCAGCCAUCUGGGGAAUGAACCAACAGAUGGAAAAUCUCUUUCUCUCUCUCUCCCUCUUUCUCUAACUCUGCCUUUCAAACACAUUUUAGAAAUAUUAAAAAAAAAAAUGAGAGCCACACACACCCUCGGGCUGCUCCCGUAAACCGCUACGUUCUCGCUGCUCUUGCUCUUGGGCCUGCCUGCAGCGGGGCUCUGCCUCCUCUCCCACUCCCACUCCCACUCCCACUCCCACUGCUGAGCUAUUAUCUCUAGAAGCAUCUAGAGCUUCCUCUGGCCAGUGAAAAACCCGCCUGAUACAACUUCUGGGCGACCGAGCUGUCAGUGAUUGUGCUGUGAGAUGAGCUUGGUGACAAGGGAAUUUGCCACCACGGAGGAAGCGCGGCUGAGCCCCGGCCAAGCUGGGGCGGGGGAGGGAGACGGGGGGGGGGGGGGAGGGUGGUGGGGGGAGGGAGAAGGCCCCUAGGGACUCAGA
rnacentral:lncRNA from 1 species